rnacentral:rRNA from 1 species
UAGGGAAUAUUGGACAAUGGGUGAGAGCCUGAUCCAGCCAUGCCGCGUGCAGGAAGAAGGCGUUAUGCGUUGUAAACUGCUUUUUGCCAGGGGAUAAAAAGACCGUGCGCGGUUAAUUGAAGGUACCUGGUGAAUAAGCCACGGCUAACUACGUGCCAGCAGCCGCGGUAAUACGUAGGUGGCAAGCGUUGUCCGGAUUUAUUGGGUUUAAAGGGUGCGUAGGUGGCCCUGUAAGUCAGUGGUGAAAUAUCUCAGCUUAACUGAGAGGGUGCCAUUGAUACUGCAGGGCUUGAGUACAGAUGAGGUAGGCGGAAUUGACGGUGUAGCGGUGAAAUGCAUAGAUAUCGUCAAGAACACCGAUAGCGAAGGCAGCUUACCAAGCUGUAACUGACACUGAGGCACGAAAGUGUGGGGAUCAAACAGGAUUAGAUACCCUUGUAGUCCCUGAGCGGGCUGGCAAGGCGCAU